AAAUUUUAAAUACUUUAGAUGUUCAGCAGACUUUACAAAAGACCCAUCGUGUUUCGGCUAUAUUCAAUAUCGUUAUGUUGAUUGGAAUCCGGUUUUCUAUCAUGUUGUUCUUGGGAACUUGCCAGACGACACCAGCAUGUAUUUGUGUUAGAAAACAACUUGCAGGAAACAACAAGAUAGAACUGAUCAUGCCUACAGUCAAGCCGGCUGAUGGCGGUAACGUGUGUCUUUGUUGUUAUUCUAAGAUCACGAGAAUUGACAGAACUGUUUACUUCUAUAGAAAUGAUACACGUGUGUGUGAAGUUAAAGAUUCUGGACCAGUGAACUGGGAAGUUGGCAACUUCACAUGUAAAAGAGUGAAUGGCACUUUAACAAUUUUUGAAGUAAAUCCCAUGGAGUUCAACGUAUCUGGAAUAACAUGCCGGAAUAAACCAAAUUUUAGACAAGGAAAAAUAGCGCCUGCGCAAGGUUUACCACCCAUAGAAGAACAAAACACGAAAGACUCCAGAAAUCGUAUCGUCGAAAGUAACACUAUCUACAAUUCAACCAGUUUCAAUAAUUCAACCAAUUUCGACAAUUCAAUCAGUUCCAAUAAUUCAACCAAUUUCGACAAUUCAACCAGUUUCAAUAAUUCAACCAGCAUUACUAAAGAUCCAAACCGUGUUAUACCGUUACAAGUCAGUUUAGCCUCCUUUGCGUUAAUAAUAGUAGCUCUGAUCAUAUUAGUGGUGCUGGUAGUCAAGAGGAUAAUUCACAGCCUUAAAUUGAAACGAUAUGAAAGUAUAUCAGCACAGAGAAGAGAUGAUGAAUUGUUGUACAUCACACUUCCGAGGAGUUCUUCUGUGGAAUCUCAUGUAUAUGAAUCUGUCCAGGAUUUAGCAGUGACACCAGGAAUAAAGCUACCGUGUACAUCACCUGGAACAAGAGCAAGAAGUGAUUCAACUGUCGUCGCAGAAUUACCUAAAGUGACAAAUUCUUUGUGUCAUACUGUGUCUGUAUGGUAGCCAUAUUUAAGACAUCAACCCUAUUAUAAACUCCUAUUUUAUAGGAGUUUUUUUUAUAUGUAUACUAAAUUGAUGAUCCACAAUAAAAUCCUGAACCCAUGACCUGGUGUUUUGUUCGUCUUUGUGAAUAGAACCCUGCUACAAAUUUGGCGCCCAACGUGAUAUAGAUGAAGGUAGAGUUCAGUCCCUUUGUUGUACACAAGAUGUUUCACUUCCAACUGUUUCACCACCGGUUGAUUCCAUUAUUAUCGACAGCAGCCGUAUGAGAAGAUGUCAACAAGCGUGCCCUUCUUUAAAGUCUGUUUUUAAAUGUGUUCAGACUGGAGUUAAACCGACAUAUGAUUUUUUACGCAAUUUUGAUCAGGAAGCCAAACAUAUUCUUCGCCAUUGGGAUAAUUUAUUUAUUAUGGAUGAUAUUCUUUAUCGCAAAUAUUCAAUUGCUGUUUCAUCUGGUCCCAUUUUACAUAUGGUUGUUCCUAUUUCUCUUCGAGACACUGUGUUUACUUUUCUUCAUGAUAAUAUGGGUCAUAUGGGUAGGGAUCGUACUCUUGAUCUUUUUAAGUCUCGUUUCUUUUGGCCUGGAAUGUCUAAAUUCGUAGAAGAUAAAAUCAAAUUGUGUUCACGCUGUAUUCGCAGAAAAUCGCCUAACACUUCAGAAAGAGCUCCACUUAUCAAUAUUAAAACUUCCCAGCCUCUUGAAUUAGUAUGUAUGGAUUACCUUUCCCUUGAACCUUCAAAGGGUGGCUUCGAAAAUAUUUUGAUCAUUACAGACCAUUUCACUAAGUAUGCAGUUGCAAUUCCCACGAAAAAUCAGACAGCUAAAACUACAGCCAAAGCCAUCAUCCAUAAUUUUAUUCUUCCGUAUGGUAUUCGCGCUCGUCUUCACUCUGAUCAAGGUCGAAAUUUUGAAAGUGAUGUAAUUAAAGAAAUGUGUUCUAUUCUGGAUAUUAAGAAACCCCGCACCACUCCUUACCAUCCUAUGGGUAAUGGUCUUACUGAACGCUUCAACCGAACCUUAAUGAAUAUGCUUGGUACUUUAUCUGAUGAUCAAAAGCAGAAUUGGAAAGAUUAUGUACCGUAUCUUGUUUACGUUUAUAACUGCACUAAACACGUUUCAACUUCUUUUAGUCCAUAUUUUUUAAUGUUUGGUCGACAGCCUAGGUUACCCAUUGAUUUUUUUUUGGUACUUAUUCUUCUCCAUCUGAUAUACAUACUUUUUCUAAAUAUUCUCAAGAUUUUCAACAACGGUUUCAAGAUGUUUAUAAUAUUGCUCAAAAGAAUAUUCAAAGCGCUCAAGAAAAACAGAAAUUUCAUUAUGACCUCAAGUCACGAGGAGCUACAUUAGAUAUCGGAGAUUUUGUAUUGGUUCGUAAUGUUCAGAUUCGCGGAAAGAAUAAACUCGCAGACAAAUGGGAAGAAGAUGCUUAUGUUGUUAUUGCUCAACCCGACCCUACUAUUCCAGUUUACAGUGUAAUGAAAGACGGUGAUUCAUCAGCACGAACUCUUCAUAGAAAUCUUUUACUUCCAAUCAGUGCUAAGGGCGUUCCUGUAUCCAAAUCCUCUUUUAAUCCAUAUUUAAGGUCAAAUAAUUCUUUCAAUUGUUCAUCAUUAUCAGAUGAUUCACAAGUUCUGGCACAUGCUUCGCUUUCAGUUUCCCCGGAUCCAGUUUCUGAAGUUACUACAGACCCUUUUAUUAUUCCGGUUUCUGUUUGUACUCCUGUUCCUGUAUCCGAUUUAUACUCAGUGUGUAACCCUGUUGUUUCAAGUAUCCCUGUUAAGGAUGUCAAUUUUAUUUCGGAUAAAGUUGCUAGUUCAGAUUUUGUUUCUAAUUCACCUGUUUCCAUAAAUUCUACUGCUAAUUCAAGUAUUACCAGGGUGUCUAGAUCGUCAAUACCCGUUCCUGUUAUUUCAACAAGAGUUUUAAGGUCGCAUUCGAAUAAAGUUGCUACUCCAAUCAAGAAGUCCGUUAUCCCUAUUCCCGUUAAACGAUCACAACGAAUAAAACAUCCCCCAGUUUGGUUUGAUUCGGAUAUUUACGAUUUGAAGUAGUUUUUAUUGCAAAUAAGGUUAUAGUUAUAUUUUUCCGUGUGUUUGGGUGUUUUGUUUUUUGUUUUUUUAUAUGUCAGUGUCGGGGACGCCACUUCUCCUGGUGGGGGGAUAAUGUGGUAGUGUAUAUUUGUGUAUAUUUGUAUUUAUUGCAUCUUGAAUAUUAGUUGUAUUAUUGUCCCUUUAAUAUAUUAGUUAUUUAUGGUAUAUUUGGUGUUCGUUGUAUUGUCCCUUAAAUAGUCCACCUCUAAGCUGGUUAAGAAUAUCUUUACAACAGCAAGUCUAAACUCUACUCACUUUUAACUCACUAAAAUAACCACAUCUCAGCUUCUCUUUCAAAUCUCACUUGCAUCUUAACCUUGUUACAAGGAGGAUCACAUUCUGUCACUUGUCUUUGUGUCAUACUGUGUCUGUAUGGUAGCCAUAUUUAAGACAUCAACCCUAUUAUAAACUCCUAUUUUAUAGGAGUUUUUUUUAUAGGUAUACUAAAUUGAUGAUCCACAAUAAAAUCCUGAACCCAUGACCUGGUGUUUUGUUCGUCUUUGUGAAUAGAACCCUGCUACAAAUACAUAACGACGAAAGUAUAUUGGAAAAUGUUAGACUUUUUUUACAUUUAUAUAAACAUGAACACCUUAGCCCAUUCUCCCUUAGAGUCACGGUGGCUAAGAGUGUAAGACACUAGCUCGCUAUCCUGGAGUUCGCGGGUUCGAUUCUUGUGUUAGCCAAGAAUGUUUCUUGGGAUUUUCCGGCGUGGUUUUCCCUUGUUAUUGAUGCAGGGCAGAGGACAUGACAAGCACAGCUGUCUAGUCGUUCGGAUGGGACGAAAAACCGAGGCCCCGUGUACACAUUGGCGCGCACGUUAAAGAUCCCCUGGCAGAUGGAAUUCGAUAUAAGAGUAGGCCGUAGCGCCGCUGUCUGGCAAAAUUUCCCAUUUUUUUUUAGUAAUAUAAUAUGUUUGUGUUCGUCAUAAAUUCAGAAGUAGAAAGUGAUGUGCUGGAGUGGC